rnacentral:rRNA from 1 species
UCGAGAAUCUUUCGCAAUGGGCGCAAGCCUGACGAAGCGACGCCGUGUGAGCGAAGAAGGCCUUCGGGUUGUAAAGCUCUUUCGCUAGGGAACAAGAGAGGAGUAUUAAUAACACUCCGAUUUGAGGGUACUUGGUAAAGAAGCACCGGCUAACUCCGUGCCAGCAGCUGCGGUAAUACGGAGGGUGCAAGCAUUGAUCGGAAUUACUGGGCGUAAAGGGCGCGUAGGCGGCAGGAUAAGUCAGGUGUGAAAUUCCACAGCUCAACUGUGGAACUGCAUUUGAAACUAUCCAGCUAGAGCGUAGUUAGGGAAAACGGAAUUCCACAUGUAGCGGUGAAAUGCGUAGAUAUGUGGAGGAACACCGGUGGUGAAGACGGUUUUCUGGGCUAUAGCUGACGCUGAGGCGCGAAAGCUAGGGGAGCAAACAGGAUUAGAUACCCCGGUAGUCC